UCUAUCAUGCCUCUGUCUCUCUGUCACGCCCUCCUCCUCCUCCCCUCUCUCUCUCUCUCUCUCUCUCUCUCUCUCUCUCUCCACUGUCGUCAGUAUAGGAUCACACGACCACCACUGCCACUGAUAUCACCAUUGCAAACUAGCAGCCAUUCUCUGAAAUCGAGGAGACGCAAUCGAAGCGGUUUGACAUUAAGAUCGCCAUCCAAAUUUAGACGCUAGAAUCGACAGAGACGACAAUUGAGCUACGUAGUAGGGGCGGAAUGUAGUGGGGGAAUCAGAAAACCUAAUUUUAUUUCUCUUCACUCUCUCUCUCUCAUAUAUAUAUAUAUGUAUGUAUAAGCAGUUUUAGAUCUCUCUCUCUCUUUAAUUAAAUUUACAGAACAUGAUGCUUUGCUUUGUUUUGCUUUGAAUUGCUUUCUCAGAACUCAAAAAGAGAAAGAAAAAGAAAAAGGGUUUUCUUGACAACUCCAUUCGAUUCAUCUAAAAUUCUCGUUUUCUCCAAAAUGGGGUUGUGGGAUUCCCUCCUCAAUUGGCUCAGUAGGUAAUUUACUUCUUUCUCUUCUAAUCUUCCAUAUUUUUUGUCAGAAUGAUUCUUGUCUAACUCCAAGGAAUGAAGCGCAAAAUGGAGCAUUCUGUCAGGGAGAAACAGUUUCAUUUACUUCUAAGGUUGUUAAGGAUUUUUUGAAGUUGUGUCAUAAUGUUAUGGUAAAUGAAUCUCGUGUUUUAGUUCUCAUCUUGGUUAUGACAAAAUUGUUCAUGGUGGAUAUAUCUUGUUAAACUGUUUAUAUACAUUAUUAGUGGGAGUUGGUCAAUUGGAGUAAUUUUGUGUUGCUUUAAAACAGCAUGAAGACAAUAUAAAAAAUAUGAAGUCUCAGAAAAAUAGCUUGGAUGACUUCAUUCUUGACAUGCAAGGUAUAUUAUUUUCUAAUUUUUAGUUUGUGUAAGUGUGCCUGUAAAAUUUAUUGUCUAAUUUUCUAAUUAAAUGUUUUAAGAUAUUACGUUUUUUGAAAAAAAGAAAGAAAAGAAGUUACUGCCAGAAAUUAGCUUGAUUGGUAUAUGUUGUCAUAUCAAAAGGGAAGAUGCAGGAUUCAAGUGCCAAUUAGCAAAAAUUAUGUUCCCUAAGCCCUUAAGUAGAGGCCACAUAGUGCGCUCUGUGAGUGUGAUUGGUUUUCGUCAAUAAUGCAUUUCUAAUGAGCAUAACUCAUUAAAUUUUACCAAUUUCUAUCGUACCCCUUGUUCACACUGAAGAUCAACUCCAUGCUUUUUUAUUACAAUUACAUGGAAUUAAGUUAUUACGUUAAUAAGAUCUGCAUUCAAACUUUGGAAGUGAAAUAAUUUUGAGUUUGAAGAAGUUAAGAUCUUGAUUCUCUUGCGAUAAUGUAUGAUUUACUUGUAUCAUUUGCUUAUAUUUUUUUCCUGAUAAUUAUUAUCUCAUUUAAUCUUGGGAAAUAUCAUUCAUCAAGUAUGCCUAUGAUGGAAGACAGGGAUCAUACUGGUGUGGACAGUGAGGAGGAACCAUUAGAACAUAUAAUAGGGCACGAGAAAUCUGCAACUGGCAUUUUGUGCUUGCCGAAACUUGCCAUGGCAAUGAGGCUUCCAAUCUUCUAUUGACCAAGGAUGUGUUGGGUAUUGUUGCUACACUUGGGAAAGUGGAUGAUGACAAUCUCAGUAGGUUGGUUUGAAAUUGCAAUCUUCUGUGUUUUUAAUUGUUUACUUUGUACUAUUGUCAUUGCUUCUUAUUUAGUUGUGUUCGAUAAUUUUUCAGCCAUUUUGACAUGGACAUGGUAGAGAAUUAAUUGUCCCAUCCUAAUGAUAUGUAGCUCUAGUGAUUGAAUAUAUUCUGGUAAAUGUUUUGUAUAUUAUUAGGUUCGUUUGAAGUUUGCAUGGUCGUGUGUGUUUUUGAAUAGGUGCAAUGAGUGUAGUUGUUACAUUGAUGUCUUGGCAGUUCUGAUGUUAAGAUGCUAUGCUAACUUUACUGGCUCAUGGAUGGUAGACUUCCUACAGCAUGUUGAUUAAGGUGUAGUCAGAGAGUCUUACUGUUAUUAGUGAUCUAUAGUAUACUUGACAUGUUCUGUUUUUCCAACUCUAGAGUCAGGCUUGUCUCGGAGUACUUGGGUAUAGAAACGAUGUUGGCAGUUGUCUGCAAGACUUACAAUGGUGUUAAAGCUCUGGAAACAUAUGAAAAAGAUGGUUCUGUCAGUAAAAGUUCUGCCCUUCAUGGGCUUGGAACUUCCAUAGGGAGGCAUUUGGAUGGCCAUUUUCAAGUCAUUUAUCUUGAAAAUUUAAGACCAUUCCAUGGUGAGUUUGUAGCGGAGGACCCCCAGAUGCAACUUGAUAUUUUCAAGCCAAGUUUAUAUUAUCUGGUGCUGUUGAUCUCAUCUGCGUUGAUUCUGUCUCAGCUCUUACUCCACGAGCUGAGAUUGAAGGGGAAAUUGGAAUGUAGCAAAUGGGUUUGCAAGCAUGUCUCAUGAGCCAAGCUCUGUGUAAAAUGUCUGGAAAUGCCUCCAAAGCUAGAUGUACUCGUAUUUUUCUGAAUCAAAUAAGACAAGGUAAUUUUGAUUAAUAAGGUGUAAAAUAGAGCCCUGAAGACCAGAGGACACACUCUAUUACAAUCACUUUCUUCAAUCACUCUCACCAUUACUACAACUCAAGGUCCAGUACCGAAGAUGCAACCCUUUUUGAGUACGUGAUGAUAUUUUUGCAUUUCGAUAUUGGAGCUUACUGUUGAUAUUAAAACAAACUAUAAUAUAUAUGUUUUUUUAUUUGGAUUGUUGAUACUUUUGUUUUGCUUUAGAUACAAAAAUUUAAGUUAUUGAAUAUCAAAAGUUAUUAGUAUUGUUAGAGAAUGUUUUAUAUAUUUUUGUAAAGAAUAUUUGGUUGACAAUUGUUACA